rnacentral:rRNA from 1 species
UACGAAGGGGACUAGCGUUGUUCGGAUUUACUGGGCGUAAAGCGCGCGUAGGCGGAUCGCUAAGUCAGGGGUGAAAUCCCAGGGCUCAACCCUGGAACUGCCUUUGAUACUGACGAUCUGGAGAUCGGGAGAGGUUGGUGGAAUUCCGAGUGUAGAGGUGAAAUUCGUAGAUAUUGGGAAGAACACCGGUGGCGAAGGCGGCUCUCUGGACCGAGACUGACGCUGAGGCGCGAAAGCGUGGGGAGCAAACAGG